CCUACGGGAUGCAGUAGUGAGGAAUAUUGGUCAAUGGCCGGGAGGCUGAACCAGCCAAGUCGCGUGAGGGAAGACGGCCCUACGGGUUGUAAACCUCUUUUGUCAGGGAGCCAGGUGCAGGUCGGGCCCUGCUGUGAGAGUACCUGAAGAACAAGCAUUGGCUAACUCCGUGCCAGCAGCCGAGGUAAUACGGGCGAUGCGGGCGUGAUCCGGAUUUAUUGGGUUUAACGGGUGCCCAGGCGGAGGCACAAGUCAGCGGUAAAAUCGCGGGGCUCAACCCCGCUCCGCCGUUGAAACUGUGGCCCUUGAGUGCGCGAAGGGUAGGCGGAAUGCGUGGUGUAGCGGUGAAAUGCAUAGAUAUCACGCAGAACUCCGAGCGCGAAGGCAGCCUACCGGCGCGCAACUGACGCUCAUGCACGAAAGCGUGGGUAUCGAACAGGAUUAGAUACCCGGGUAGUC
rnacentral:rRNA from 1 species